ACCAUCCAAAAAACAAACCCUAAAAUUCUAUCUUCUCCGCUCCAUCUUCUCUGCAUGCCGCUGACUUUUCCCGUAGCCUUCCUCCUCAUCCUCUCCCGUAGCAGCUGCAUCUCCAGGUCCGAUCUUAAUCUUCUCCCGUAGCUGCUGCAUCUCCAGGUUCAAUCUCGAUCUUCUCCCGUAGCCGCUGCAUCUCCAGAAGCAAUUGAUUGAGUUGGAUGUGAUGCUGCUGGAGCUGCAAAUCAUCGAGUCUUCAGAGUGAGCGAGUCUGCAGAUCCAUUUUGUUUUGAUUCUUAUAUAGUGUGAUAAUAUUUUGGGUUAGAUGUUUUUUGGAGCGGAUUUGAAGUAAGGGUGAGAGAAUGUGAUAAGCGAAGGCUUUCUUUUUUUGCUUAAAUGCUUUAGAUUUGGUGGAAAGAAUUUGCUUCCUAAAUUUGAAAGGCUUUGCUGUAUUAGUUGGAGUUAUAGUUUUGCAACAACAAUCUCUAAGGAUUUCGUUGUUGGCUAACUAUUUAAGGCUUUCAUCUUCUGUUUCAUGCAAUUUUGAAGAGGAUUUGAGGUCGGUUUUUGAUGACUCUGUAAAAUUGUAAUUGUGUGUUGUAGAUGAACACAUUGUGAUGUGCUAAUUGGGGAGUUGGAGAAUUGAACCGUAGAUGGAGCGCAAGUGGUUGUGGAAGAAGAAGUCUUCUGAGAAGAGCUCUGGAGAAACUGACAGUUUAGGUUCAGUAUCUUCACACUUCGAGAGGUACCCCGAUGAACAGGUCUCCAUGUAUGUUGUAGCAGCACAUUAGAUUAUCUUAAAGAUCCAAAUAACCUUUUAUUAGAUGAAUACUCAAGAAACAUGAAGUUAUUUCUUCAGGCCAUGGGUCUGUUGACUGAUAUGUAUACAUCGGUAUGGCUUUAAAAACACAUCAGCAUGAAGGUUACACAUCAAAUUGUAGGAAGGCUGUUAUACUGUUGGGAUUCGUAGGGAUAUAAGGAAGUUAGUUGGUUACUAUGAGUGAAGCAAAGAAUACUUGUAUAAAUAACAAACACCUCUCUCUGUAAUUCAUUCAUUGCUCAAGAAAUACAAUCUUUAGUCAUUCACUUUC